rnacentral:rRNA from 1 species
AGUGAACGCUGGCGGUAGGCCUAACACAUGCAAGUCGAACGGCAGCACAGUAAGAGCUUGCUCUUACGGGUGGCGAGUGGCGGACGGGUGAGGAAUACAUCGGAAUCUACUUUUUCGUGGGGGAUAACGUAGGGAAACUUACGCUAAUACCGCAUACGACCUACGGGUGAAAGCAGGGGAUCUUCGGACCUUGCGCGAUUGAAUGAGCCGAUGUCGGAUUAGCUAGUUGGCGGGGUAAAGGCCCACCAAGGCGACGAUCCGUAGCUGGUCGGAGAGGAGGAUCAGCCACACUGGAACUGAGACACGGUCCAGACUCCUACGGGAGGCAGCAGUGGGGAAUAUUGGACAAUGGGCGCAAGCCUGAUCCAGCCAUACCGCGUGGGUGAAGAAGGCCUUCGGGUUGUAAAGCCCUUUUGUUGGGAAAGAAAAGCAGCAGGUUAAUACCCCGCUGUUCUGACGGUACCCAAAGAAUAAGCACCGGCUAACUUCGUG